rnacentral:rRNA from 1 species
AUUGAACGCUGGCGGCAGGCUUAACACAUGCAAGUCGAGCGGAGCGAGGGUGCUUGCACCUUAGCUUAGCGGCGGAAGGGUGAGUAAUGCUUAGGAAUCUGCCUAUUAGUGGGGGACAACAUUCCGAAAGGAAUGGUAAUACCGCAUACGCCCUACGUGGGAACGCAGGGGGUAUUGGGAACUCACGCAAAUAGAGGAGAUAAUGCCGGAUUAGCUAGUUGGUGGGGUAAAGGCCUACCAAGGCGACGAUCUGAAGCGGGUCUGAGAGGAUGAUCCGCCACACUGGGACUCAGACACGGCCCAGACUCCUACGGGAUGCAGCAGUGGGGAAUAUUGGACAAUGGGCGGAAGCCUGAUCCAGCCAUGCCGCGUGUGUGAUGAAGGCCUUUUGGUUGUAAAGCACUUUAAGCGAGGAGGAGGCUCUUAAGGUUAAUACCCUUGAUGAGUUGACGUUACUCGCAGAAUAAGCACCGGCUAACUCUGUGCCAGCCGCCGCAGUAAGAC